GACGAACGCUGGCGGCGCGCCUAACACAUGCAAGUCGAACGAGCGAGCGAGAGCUUGCUUUCUCGAGCGAGUGGCGAACGGGUGAGUAACGCGUGAGGAACCUGCCCCAAAGAUGGGGACAACAGUUGGAAACGACUGCUAAUACCGCAUAAGCUCCCGGCUCGGCGUCGAGCCGGGGGAAAAGGAGCCAUCCGCUUUGAGAUGGCCUCGCGUCCGAUUAGCUUGUUGGGGAGGUAACGGCCCACCAAGGCGACGAUCGGUAGACGGACUGGGAGGUUGAACCGACACAUUGGGGCUGAGACACGGCCCAGACUACUACGGGAGGCAGCAGUGGGGAAUACUGCACAAUCGGGGAAACCCUGAUGCAGCGACGCCGCGUGGAGGAAGAAGGUCUGCGGAUAGUAAACUCCUGUUGUUGGGGAAGAUAAUGACGGUACCCAACAAGGAAGUGACGGCUAACUACGUG
rnacentral:rRNA from 1 species